rnacentral:rRNA from 1 species
AUUGAACGCUAGCGGGAUGCCUUACACAUGCAAGUCGAACGGAGUGGCGAACGGGUGAGUAAUGUAUCGGAACGUGCCCAGUAGCGGGGGAUAACUACGCGAAAGCGUAGCUAAUACCGCAUACUAUUGGAGCGGCCGGUAUCGGAUUAGCUAGUUGGUGGGGUAACGGCUCACCAAGGCGACGAUCCGUAGCAGGUUUGAGGGGACGACCAGCCACACUGGUACUUAGACACGGCCUAGACUCCUACGGGAGGCAGCAGUGGUGAAUUGUGGACAAGGUUGGAAAUCCUGAUCCAGCCAUCCCGCGUGUGCGAUGAAGCCCUUCUGGUUGUAAAGCACUUUUGGCAGGAAAGCGGUACCUGCAGAAUCAGCACCGGCUAACUACGUGCCAGCCGCCGCGGUAAUAC